GCACCCAUAGCUCUGUGGUAGAGCAUCUACCUUGCACGCAAAAGGUCCUGGGUUCAAUUCCUGACGUCUCCA